rnacentral:misc_RNA from 1 species
GAUGAAGAACGCAGUGAAAUGCGAUAAGUAAUGUGAAUUGCAGAAUUCAGUGAAUCAUCGAGUCUUUGAACGCACAUUGCGCCCCCUGGUAUUCCGGGGGGCAUGCCUGUCCGAGCGUCAUUGCCGCCCUCAAGCACGGCUUGUGUGUUGGGCCCCCGCCCCCCGGCUUCGGGGGGCGGGCCCGAAAGGCAGCGGCGGCACCGCGUCCGGUCCUCGAGCGUAUGGGGCUUCGUCACCCGCUCUGUAGGCCCGGCCGGCGCCCGCCGGCGACCCCAAUCAAUCUUUCCAGGUUGACCUCGGAUCAGGUAGGGAUACCCGCUGAACUUAAGCAUAUCAAUAAGCGGAGGA